UACGGAGGAUGCGAGCGUUAUCCGGAUUUAUUGGGUUUAAAGGGUGCGUAGGCGGGCUUUUAAGUCAGCGGUAAAAAUUCGGGGCUCAACCCCGUCCGGCCGUUGAAACUGGGGGCCUUGGGUGGGCGAGAAGAAGGCGGAAUGCGUGGUGUAGCGGUGAAACGCAUAGAUAUCACGCAGAACUCCGAUUGCGAAGGCAGCGUACCGGCGCCCAACUGACGCUGAAGCACGAAGGCGUGGGUAUCGAACAGG
rnacentral:rRNA from 1 species